rnacentral:rRNA from 1 species
AACCGUGUGCGGUGGAUCACUUGGCUCGUGCGUCGAUGAAGAGUACAGCCAACUGUGUGAAUUAAUGUGAAUCGCAGACUGCUACGAACAUCGACAUUUCGAACGCAUCUAGA